rnacentral:sRNA from 1 species
GCCCGACUUGAGCGGAAAUCCUUUUUGUGUAGCAAAGCGGAACAAAAAGAUUGGGAGCGGAAGGCGGAAAAAGCU